CCAAGGGGCCUAAAUAUCCUAAAGUCACCAGGUCCCAUCUCAUCUUGGAGGAUAAGCAGGAUUGGCUUUGGUUAGUACUUAAAUGGGAGACCACCAGGGAAUACCAGGUACUGUAUGCU
rnacentral:rRNA from 1 species